GGGGUUGUAGCUCAGGGGCAGAGCCCUUGCCUUGCAUGCGUGAGACCCUGAGUUCAAUCCUCAGUACCA
rnacentral:tRNA from 1 species